rnacentral:rRNA from 1 species
CCUACGGGAGGCAGCAGUAAGGAAUAUUGGUCAAUGGACGAAAGUCUGAACCAGCCAUGCCGCGUGAAGGAUGAAGGCCCUCUGGGUUGUAAACUUCUUUUAUAGGGGACGAAAAAAGGGAAUUCUUUCCCACUUGACGGUACCCUAGGAAUAAGCACCGGCUAACUCCGUGCCAGCAGCCGCGGUAAUACGGAGGGUGCAAGCGUUAUCCGGAUUUACUGGGUUUAAAGGGUGCGUAGGUGGGCAGUUAAGUCAGUGGUGAAAUCUCCGAGCUUAACUCGGAAACUGCCAUUGAUACUAUCUGUCUUGAAUAUCCUGGAGGUGAGCGGAAUAUGUCAUGUAGCGGUGAAAUGCUUAGAUAUGACAUAGAACACCAAUUGCGAAGGCAGCUCACUACGGGAUUAUUGACACUGAGGCACGAAAGCGUGGGGAUCAAACAGGAUUAGAUACCCUGGUAGUCCACGCCCUAAACCUAUGGAUACUCGACAUCAGCGAUACACUGUUGGUGUCUGAGCGAAAGCAUUAAGUAUCCCACCUGGAAGUACGAUCGCAAGAUUGAAACUCAAAUGAUAGAGNGAGAGNGCGAGACGACGACGAGGGAGGAGG